AGAGUUUGAUCCUGGCUCAGGACGAACGCUGGCGGCGUGCCUAAUACAUGCAAGUUGAGCGCUGAAGGUUGGUACUUGUACCAACUGGAUGAGCAGCGAACGGGUGAGUAACGCGUGGGGAAUCUGCCUUUGAGCGGGGGACAACAUUUGGAAACGAAUGCUAAUACCGCAUAAAAACUUUAAACACAAGUUUUAAGUUUGAAAGAUGCAAUUGCAUCACUCAAAGAUGAUCCCGCGUUGUAUUAGCUAGUUGGUGAGGUAAAGGCUCACCAAGGCGAUGAUACAUAGCCGACCUGAGAGGGUGAUCGGCCACAUUGGGACUGAGACACGGCCCAAACUCCUACGGGAGGCAGCAGUAGGGAAUCUUCGGCAAUGGACGAAAGUCUGACCGAGCAACGCCGCGUGAGUGAAGAAGGUUUUCGGAUCGUAAAACUCUGUUGGUAGAGAAGAACGUUGGUGAGAGUGGAAAGCUCAUCAAGUGACGGUAACUACCCAGAAAGGGACGGCUAACUACGUGCCAGCAGCCGCGGUAAUACGUAGGUCCCGAGCGUUGUCCGGAUUUAUUGGGCGUAAAGCGAGCGCAGGUGGUUUAUUAAGUCUGGUGUAAAAGGCAGUGGCUCAACCAUUGUAUGCAUUGGAAACUGGUAGACUUGAGUGCAGGAGAGGAGAGUGGAAUUCCAUGUGUAGCGGUGAAAUGCGUAGAUAUAUGGAGGAACACCGGUGGCGAAAGCGGCUCUCUGGCCUGUAACUGACACUGAGGCUCGAAAGCGUGGGGAGCAAACAGGAUUAGAUACCCUGGUAGUCCACGCCGUAAACGAUGAGUGCUAGAUGUAGGGAGCUAUAAGUUCUCUGUAUCGCAGCUAACGCAAUAAGCACUCCGCCUGGGGAGUACGACCGCAAGGUUGAAACUCAAAGGAAUUGACGGGGGCCCGCACAAGCGGUGGAGCAUGUGGUUUAAUUCGAA
rnacentral:rRNA from 1 species